GGAAUCAUGGGAAGAGAGCUGGUCGGCCCCUUAAGGUGUAAAGAUGACCUCUGCAAAGUAUGUGGAGUUUUUUACUGACCACUUUCUUCCCUGGUACAGAAGGAAGAACUAUGCUUUCCAUAAUAAAAUCAUGCAUGACAAUGCACCAUCUUAUGCUGCAAAGAAUACCUCUGCAUCAGUGGUUGCUAUGUGGAUAAAAGGAGAGAAUGGUGUGGCCUCCAUACUCCCCGG